rnacentral:rRNA from 1 species
GGAGUCUGGGCCGUGUCUCAGUCCCAAUGUGGCCGGCCAGCCUCUCAGCUCGGCUACUGAUCAUCGUCUUGGUGGGCUAUUAUCUCACCAACUAACUAAUCAGCCGUAGAUCCAUCUUAUAGCGGGUUACCCCUUUGACCGCUCUUAGAUGCCUAAGUGUGGUCUUAUCAGACAUUAGCUACCGUUUCCAGUAGUUAUUUCUGUCUAUAAGGCAGGUUAUCUACGUAUUACUCACCCGUCCGCCACUAAAACACUCGGGCGAAACUUCAUCUCAGAUAAAUCUUCAAAUCUAUUUCAAUUGAGUGUUUUCGUUCGACUUGCAUGUCUUAAAUGCGCCGCCAGCGUUCAUC